rnacentral:tRNA from 1 species
AGAUUUAUAACUCAAUAGGUAGAGUAACUGCCUUACAAGCAGUAAGUUGUCAGUUCGAUUCUGACUGGAUCUA